rnacentral:rRNA from 1 species
AGAUUGAACGCUGGCGGCAGGCCUAACACAUGCAAGUCGAGCGGUAGAGAGGUGCUUGCACCUCUUGAGAGCGGCGGACGGGUGAGUAAUGCCUAGGAAUCUGCCUAGUGGUGGGGGAUAACGUUCGGAAACGGACGCUAAUACCGCAUACGUCCUACGGGAGAAAGCGGGGGCCUUCGGGCCUCGCGCCAUUAGAUGAGCCUAGGUCGGAUUAGCUAGUUGGUGAGGUAAUGGCUCACCAAGGCGACGAUCCGUAACUGGUCUGAGAGGAUGAUCAGUCACACUGGAACUGAGACACGGUCCAGACUCCUACGGGAGCAGCAGUGGGGAAUAUUGGACAAUGGGACGAAAGCCUGAUCCAGCCAUCGCCGCGU